UGAAAAGCCUCCGUGCCUGUCCUCUAAGUGCCUUCAGUGUGGUGGAGAGAGGUCAAGAAACACCUGCUAUAAAAUACGGCGAGUUCUGGCUACCCUGGAGGCUAUGCCCUGGAGGAAUGAUGGGAGCAAGUAGGAAGGAACUCUGAAACCUCUGGGGGGUGGUGUUGUGGAGUGUUCCCAGGGAGGUUCUCAAUUGGAGAGGAGUUGGGAGGUUGGGCAGGGGGAGAGCCAGGGCGAGUGAAGGCACCUGCGCUGAGUAGAGGAGACAGAGCAUAGAGUGCUUGGGAAUGGCAAGUGCAGCCACAGUGUGGAGGAUGCAGGGGCAAAGGUGUGGAUAGGCCAGCAGGAGCCUGUGGGAGAGGACUUCUAUUUCAGGGGGAGAUGGGAAGCCAUUCCAGGAUUUUCAAUGAGGAACAUGCUAGAAAGACAGCUCCUGGGGCAUUGUGGAGAAUAGGUAAGAGUUGGAAAAGAUUUGAGUGAGGGAGAAAACUAGGAGCUGAGCCCAAAUCUUGGAGAGAAAUGGCUAGAGUAUGAGCUAAUAAGGGAAGUGGAAAAAGGAAAUUUGAGAUGUAUUUGAGAAAUCUACAGGAUCAAUGUGAGGCAAGCCAAAUCUGGCGAGAAGUAGGACUUCACCUGUGUUCAAGGUUGCAUUUACUUUGGUUUGCUUACAAAACCUCAAAUCAGCAAACUAAUGCCAUUUGUGGGAUUAGAACAAAGACCUCCCACUGCCCUUCUUGUUUCUAGAGGUUUCCCAUAUUUUGCAGAUGUUGGUAAUCCACUUAAGUGACAUGCCCACCAGGCCAGAGAGGCUAAGAACUGUGAGUUUUAUGGGCUUGGUUACAUUAGCACCUAGAAUCACUAAUAGUUCCAUGCAAGGCAGGUCACACUCCUCACACUAAAGUCUGAAUUCUGGGUCUUGAAGUUCUGGAUUGAACAAUUUUUCUUUUCUCUCCAUAUGAUUCUGGACCUGAACACUUCUUAUCUAUUUUGUGAUCUUUCUCUGGGUAGGACUGGCCAAAGCUUAUGAUACAAAGCUUUGUAUCAUGAAGGGAAGAGUGUAGGUGGUCUCCCAGGCUGCUGGUUCAGGUGAAUGGGUACAUGGUCGUGCCAUUCAUUCACCUUCAUGGUAAACACAAAGAAGAGAUAGGAUUCGAUAAGGUAAGAAACUUUAAGGUAUGUGUGCUUGAGCUGUUUGUUGGACUCCAGAGAGGUUUAGGUCUGGAGUUGAAGUUUAGGUCUCCCUGGGAUAGUAGUAGAUAUUUGAGAUUUAAAAAAGAUGUGGCAAAAACCAUCAUUGUGUGUGAAGGAUGGAGGAUGUGUAGAACAUCAGGACAGAGCCCUGUGAAACAUUCAUAUUUAAUCAGAGGAAGAGAAGU
rnacentral:lncRNA from 1 species